UACGUAGGGUGCGAGCGUUGUCCGGAAUUACUGGGCGUAAAGAGCUCGUAGGUGGUUUGUCGCGUUGUUCGUGAAAACCUGAGGCUUAACCUUGGGCGUGCGGGCGAUACGGGCAGACUGGAGUACUGCAGGGGAGACUGGAAUUCCUGGUGUAGCGGUGGAAUGCGCAGAUAUCAGGAGGAACACCGGUGGCGAAGGCGGUUCUCUGGGCCUGUACUGACGCUGAGGAACGAAAGCGUGGGGAGCGAACAGG
rnacentral:rRNA from 1 species